ensembl:lncRNA
AGAGAACUUUCUGGAGAAGGUUGGCAGUGGGAGGGCCGUUCAUGCAUUUGAUUCUUUUGUUUGUGUUGCUCAUUCAGUUGAUUAAACAAAGAAUAUCUAAUUUUAACAAUGAAAUUUUCUGAUGAUCCCUUCAAGAUAGAUGUGUUACAAAAUGUACUUGCAAGGGAUAGUAGUCUGCACUAAAAAAGAGUGAAUGAGUGAUACCUGCAACAACCUGGAUAUAUUUUGCGGACAUGCUGAGCAAAAGAAGCCACAAAAAGGAGGACACACUCUAUGAUCUCAUUCAUAUGAAAAGAAAAUGCAUACUAACCUAUAAAGACAGAAAGCAGAUCAGGAGUGACCUGGAGGCCAGAGCCCCCCCAGUACAUUGUUGUAUAUUCUAGUUGUGAGCGCUUCUGGUUGUGCUACGUGGGACGCUGCCUCAGCGUGGCUUGAUGAGUGGUGCCAUGUCCAAGCCCAGGACCCAAACCGGCGAAACCCUGGGCGGCAGAAGCAGAGCAAACGGACUUAACCACUCGGCCACGGGGCUGGCCCCUAGUGGUGACUUCUUAGUUUUAAAUCCUUCAAUGUAUUUUUAAAAGAUUUCUCUGUUCUAAUUCUUGCCUGUGAACUUUUGCUUGAAAAUGUAAUCUAAUUCCUUUGGAGAACAGGAGAAAACAGAUAUUAGUAUGAAUCAGGAUAUCAAAAGCAAUUGAAUUAUAGAACUAAAAAAUUAUUUUUCCACUCAUAUUACCUGAUUUUGUAUUUUAACAUGCAAAUACAUUCAGAAAUCUCGUAAAAAAAUGUACUUGCAAGUAAUGGAAUGACUUUAUCUGACAUAAAGAAGUGUUGACUGUUAGUCAAAUAAUUGUCAAGAAUAUCUCUCCAAAAAAAAUGAUAAUUUCAGUUUUAAAACAGUUGCUCUUAAACCAUUUUUCUGACAGUAAUUAGAAGAAAGGACUAAUUGUCUAUCAAGGCAAUUACUAGCAUAUGUUAAUAAAAGCUU